UUUUUUCCCCCCCCCCCCCCCCGCCCCGCCCGUCAAGCCUUUGGCAUCAUUAUCCUCAUCACUAAAUCCUACAGAGUACAGGGCGGAAAACCGUGCACAC
rfam:Callithrix jacchus chromosome 6, whole genome shotgun sequence